CACGUAGUUAGCCGUGGCUUUCUGGUUAGAUACCGUCAAGGGGUGAACAGUUACUCUCACCCUUGUUCUUCUCUAACAACAGAGUUUUACGAUCCGAAAACCUUCUUCACUCACGCGGCGUUGCUCGGUCAGACUUUCGUCCAUUGCCGAAGAUUCCCUACUGCUGCCUCCCGUAGGAGUUUGGGCCGUGUCUCAGUCCCAAUGUGGCCGAUCACCCUCUCAGGUCGGCUAUGCAUCGUGGCCUUGGUGAGCCGUUACCUCACCAACUAGCUAAUGCACCGCGGGUCCAUCCAUCAGCGGCACCGUAAAGCGCCUUUCAAAACGAAACCAUGCGGUUUCGAUUGUUAUACGGUAUUAGCACCUGUUUCCAAGUGUUAUCCCCUUCUGAUGGGCAGGUUACCCACGUGUUACUCACCCGUUCGCCACUCCUCUUUUCCCGGUGGAGCAAGCUCCGGUGGGAAAAGAGCGUUCGACUUGCAUGUAUUAGGCACGCCGCCAGGCGUUCGUCCGUCGAGCCACGGAGUCAAACU
rnacentral:rRNA from 1 species